rnacentral:rRNA from 1 species
UAAUACGUAGGGCGCAAGCGUUGUCCGGAAUUAUUGGGCGUAAAGAGCUCGUAGGCGGCUUGUCGCGUCGGUUGUGAAAGCCCGGGGCUUAACCCCGGGUCUGCAGUCGAUACGGGCAGGCUAGAGUUCGGUAGGGGAGAUCGGAAUUCCUGGUGUAGCGGUGAAAUGCGCAGAUAUCAGGAGGAACACCGGUGGCGAAGGCGGAUCUCUGGGCCGAUACUGACGCUGAGGAGCGAAAGCGUGGGGAGCGAACAGGAUUAGAUACCCUGGUAGUCCACGCCGUAAACGGUGGGCACUAGGUGUGGGCAGCAUUCCACGUUGUCCGUGCCGCAGCUAACGCAUUAAGUGCCCCGCCUGGGGAGUACGGCCGCAAGGCUA